rnacentral:rRNA from 1 species
GCCAUCGGCCAUACCAUGCUGAAUACGCCGGUUCUCGUCCGAUCACCGAAGCUAAGCAGCAUUGGGCUCGGUCAGUACUUGGGAGGGAGACUGAGCUACGCCUGUGGUU